UACACACCGUGCUUGUCUUGCUGCA
rnacentral:piRNA from 1 species